ensembl:misc_RNA Metazoa_SRP Metazoan signal recognition particle RNA
UCCAGGCAUGGUGGAAUGUACCUGUAGUCCCAGCUACUAGGGAGGUUGAAGUGGGAGGAUUGCUUGAGUCCAGGAGUUUUGGGCUGUAGUGCACUAAACCGAUCAGGUGUCUGCAUUAAGUUUGGCAUCAAUAUAGUGACCUCCCAGGAAUGAGGGACCACCAGGUUGCCUAAGUAGGAGUGAACCAGAGCAGGUCAGAACUCCCAUUUUGAGCAUUAGUAGGAUCGUGCCUGUGAAUAGCCACUACACUCCUGUCUGGUUAACAUACCAAGACCCUUGCCUUUU